CCUACGGGGGGCUGCAGUAGGGAAUCUUCGGCAAUGGACGCAAGUCUGACCGAGCAACGCCGCGUGAGUGAAGAAGGUUUUCGGAUCGUAAAACUCUGUUGUCAGAGAAGAACAAAGGUGAGAGGAAAUGCUCACUUUUUGACGGUAUCUGACCAGAAAGCCACGGCUAACUACGUGCCAGCAGCCGCGGUAAUACGUAGGUGGCAAGCGUUGUCCGGAUUUAUUGGGCGUAAAGCGAGCGCAGGCGGUUUCUUAAGUCUGAUGUGAAAGCCCCCGGCUCAACCGGGGAGGGUCAUUGGAAACUGGGAGACUUGAGUGCAGAAGAGGAGAGUGGAAUUCCAUGUGUAGCGGUGAAAUGCGUAGAUAUAUGGAGGAACACCAGUGGCGAAGGCGGCUCUCUGGUCUGUAACUGACGCUGAGGCUCGAAAGCGUGGGGAGCAAACAGGAUUAGAUACCCCUGUAGUC
rnacentral:rRNA from 1 species